GACAGAGGUGGCGAGCGUUUUUCGGAAUUACUGGGCUUAAAGGGCGAGUAGGCGGUAGAGCAAGUCUGAUGUGGAAUCCUAUGGCUUAACCAUAGAACUGCCUUAGAAACUGCUUUACUUGAGUCAGUGAGGGGAGGGCGGAAUUCCUGGUGUAGCGGUGAAAUGCGUAGAUAUCAGGAGGAAGGCCUGUGGCGAAAGCGGCCCUCUGGCACUGUACUGACGCUGAGGCGCGAAAGCGUGGGGAGCAAACAGG
rnacentral:rRNA from 1 species